rnacentral:lncRNA from 10 species
GAGGAAGAUUGCCUUCUGCCCACGCGCCAGCCUCCGAGUGGCUGAAGGUGCUGGAGGCAGAGGAUAAGAAGGGAGGUGGCCCCUGUUGGCUCCGAUAAGCAGCUUGGACACCAGCCCUGAAGCAGGGAAAAGACAGAUGUACUAAUUGUCAUGGAUGGCAAACUGUGCCCCCAAACUUGUACCAAGCCUCAAAGCCUUGGUUUAAUACUCCUGAAGGAGUAAUAGACCCAAUGUGACAUUUUGCAUGCAGGAACCCCUUAACAGCUACCUCCAUAUUAUGCGUGCUUCAUGAAUGGAGACACCUACGUUAUAUGAAGUUCUCUAUUGGGCUGUAAACUUCCUGAGACAGGCCUUCUGGGAAAUUACUCUCUACAUCCCAGGACUGCAAUGUCCAGUGCAGACCCGUGCAUUUAGAUGUUUCCAAAAUAGCAGUUGUUUCCGCGGCAUUAUGUUCUGCUGGCCUAGAGGUCUUAGUUCCAGAGGGAGGAAUGCUGCCACCAAGAGACACAACAAUGAUUCCAUUAAACUGGAAGUUAAGAUUGCCACCUGGCCACUUUGGGCUCUUCUUACUUUUAAGCCA